rnacentral:lncRNA from 1 species
AAAGAGUAGAACAUUGGGCAGUGGGAAAGGCAUUAAUUGCUUUUGGCCUUUAAAGUUUUGUUUUGGAAACAAACACACGACUGAAUACGAAGCAAUUUGCUUCGCCUCAUCUUCUCUCAUCUCAGCUUACAACUACCCUAAAAUAGAACAAAAUCAAACUCUACUAACAGUAACCAAACCUAGGUAUUAAGACGAAACCAAAAUGCAGAU